GACGAACGCUGGCGGCGUGCCUAAUACAUGCAAGUAGAACGCGUUGCGAACGGGUGAGUAAUACGUGAGUAACCUGCCCUCUUUAUGGGAUAAGCCUCGGAAACGGGGUCUAAUACCGGCUAAAGGGGGAUGUGCUCGCGGCCUAAGAGCUUGUUGGUGGGGUGAUGGCCUCCCAAGGCGGUGACGGGUCGCCGGCCUGAGAGGGUGACCGGCCACAGUGGGACUGAGAUACGGCCCAGACGCGUAAGGGGGGCAGCAGUGGGGGAUAUGGCACAAUGGGCGAAGGCCUGAUGCAGCGACGCCGCGUGGGGGAUGAAGGCUUUCGGGUUGUAAACCUCUUGCGCUAGCGAACGGGUAGGUGGAGAAGAAGCGCCGGCUAACUACGUGCCAGCAGCCGCGGUAAUUC
rnacentral:rRNA from 1 species